rnacentral:rRNA from 1 species
GACGUAGGAUGCGAGCGUUGUCCGGAUUUAUUGGGCGUAAAGAGUUCGUAGGCGGUUUGUUAAGUCUGAUGUUAAAGAUCGGGGCCCAACCCUGGGAAUGCAUUGGAUACUGGCAGACUGGAGUGCAGUAGAGGCGAGUGGAAUUCCCAGUGUAGCGGUGAAAUGCGUAGAUAUUGGGAAGAACACCGGUGGCGUAGGCGACUCGCUGGGCUGUAACUGACGCUGAGGAACGAAAGCCAGGGGAGCAAAU